AGAUAGUAAUGUUUGCAUUGGAUUGAGACAACGUACAAACCUUAUCGAUAAACAAUUGGAGGGCAAGUCUGGUGCCAGCAGCCGCGGUAAUUCCAGCUCCAAUAGCGUAUAUUAACGUUGUUGCAGUUAAAAAGCUCGUAGUUGAAAUGAAGGGUGGUUGUGUAAUGAAUACAUUCGUGUAUUUUGUUAUUCUACUACCCUCCUUCUAAAUUCGAUAUAUGAGUAUUAAUUUACUUGUAUAUGGUUUUAGACGUUUACUGUGAGAAAAUUAGAGUGUUCAAAGCAGGCAUUUGCUUGAAUAUAUUAGCAUGGAAUAAUCAUGUAUGAUUUUCAUGAUGUAUUUGAUUGGUUUGGUUCAUGAGAAUAAGAUUAAAAGGGACAGUUGGGGGUAUUCAUAUUCAAUAGUCAGAGGUGAAAUUCUCGGAUUUAUGGAAGAUGAACAAGUGCGAAAGCAUUUACCAAGGAUGUUUUCAUUAAUCAAGAACGAAAGUUAGGGGAUCGAAGAGGAUUAGAUACCCCGGAAAUUCCUUUAAGAAA
rnacentral:rRNA from 1 species